rnacentral:lncRNA from 1 species
AGUGCCCAGCAGUCGUAGUUGAGUCCUGCUGAUGAAACAGAAAACCUGCAACCUGCCCUGUUUGCAGGCAGAACAGACAGUUAAAUAUAUCAGCCAAGGAACAGCAGGGGCUGGUAGCUGAAGUUUGGACAGUCGAGCCCGUAAAUGAUUUAUUCCACUCUGUUAAGCUUCCUGAAUCACAGAGAAGUUGUCAGAAAGAUUUUAGCCUCCGCUAUAGGAAGUCCUGCCCACCUUCUCCAGAUCUCUGUUCUCAUAGUCCAUCCUCUGGUUCCAGGUGGAAGAAUUCUAAAAUCACACAAGAAAAUGUAAGAUAUCUUCCUCGAAUAUCAACAGAGAAGAACAGCAGCCACGUGGAUAAGGCAGAGUUUGGGAAAUCCUGGAUUCCCUUAUCAUAAAGCAUCUUACAGUAACCUCAGAAAUGCAGAAGUUACUUGUAAUGGUGCUGUAGACACUGUACGAGAAAGUUUCACCUUUAUGAUCUAAUUUAAUUCUCACAAAAACCCUGUUAGGUAGGGUGUUAUUAUUUAAAUUUAAAUCAGAGGAAAAUGUAACAGGAAUUCUGCAACUUACAGUCAAAGAGAUAAUAAACAGGAGCAUCUGUGGUUUGAAA